rnacentral:rRNA from 1 species
GACGAACGCUGGCGGCGUGCUUAACACAUGCAAGUCGAACGGAAAGGCGCUGCUCUUGUGGGGUGCUCGAUUGGCGAACGGGUGAGUAACACGUGAGUAACCUGCCCUUGACUGUGGGAUAACUUCAGGAAAAUGGGGCGAAAACAGGAUAGGAGAUCCUGAUGCAUGGGGGGGGAUGGAAAGUGACGGCGGUGGUGGAUGGACUGGCUGGUUAUCAGCUUGUUGGGGGGGUAGUGGAUUAAAAAGGCUUUGACGGGUAGCCGGCGUUAGAGCGUGACCGGCCACCUUGGGACUGAGGUACGGCCCAGUAUCCUACCGGAGGCAGCAGUCGGGAAUAUUGCGCAGCGGGCGGACGCCUGUGACAGCAGUGCCGCGUGCGGAAUGACGGCCUUCGGGUUGUAAACCGCUUUCGCCUGUGACGAAGCGUGAGUGACGGUAAUGGAUAAAGAAGCACCGGCUAACUACGUG